rnacentral:rRNA from 1 species
UGCAAGUCGAACGCGAAAGUCCCCUUCGGGGGACGAGUAGAGUGGCGUCCGGGUGAGUAACACGUAGGUAAUCUACCUUCGGGUGGGGAAUAACGCAGGGAAACUUGCGCUAAUACCGCAUAAUGCAGCGGCACCACAUGGUGACAGUUGUUAAAGCGGGGGAUUUUCGAACCUCGCGCCUGAAGAGGAGCCUGCGGCAGAUUAGCUAGUUGGUAGGGUAACGGCUUACCAAGGCGACGAUCUGUAGCCGGCCUGAGAGGGCGGUCGGCCACACUGACACUGACAUACGGGUCAGACUCCUACGGGAGGCAGCAGUCGGGAAUUUUGGGCAAUGGGCGAAAGCCUGACCCAGCAACGCCGCGUGAAGGAUGAAAUCCUUCGGGAUGUAAACUUCGCAAGAAUAGGAAGAAUGAGCGAGCGCUAACACCGUUCGUGAUGACGGUACUAUUUGUAAGCUCCGGCUAACUCCGUGCCAGCAGCCGCGGUAAUACGGGGGGAGCAAGCGUUGUUCGGAUUUACUGGGCGUAAAGGGCGCGUAGGCGGUCAGCACAAGUCAGUUGUGAAAUCUCCGGGCUUAACUCGGAAAGGUCAACUGAUACUGUGCGACUAGAGUGCAGAAGGGGCAACUGGAAUUCUCGGUGUAGCGGUGAAAUGCGUAGAUAUCGAGAGGAACACCUGCGGCGAAGGCGGGUUGCUGGGCUGACACUGACGCUGAUGCGCGAAAGCCAGGGGAGCGAACGGGAUUAGAUACCCCGGUAGUCCUGGCCUUAAACGAUGGAUGCUUGGUGUCUGGAGUUUUAUAGUCUCCGGGUGCCGUA